UGUUAGAAAUAGUCUGUAAUAUGUGUCAAUGUAAAUCUUAAGGAGAUCGGCAUGAGAGUCCAUGGUUAUAGGAUAGAAUCUGUAAAUUAGGAAUUGUUGUAUAGGAUCCUAGAAUUAUGGAUCUCCAUGCCGUAUUCGUAGGAGAUUGUUUUCUUGUACUGUUACUAUAUAAUCAACACGUACUGCGCCUCUGGCUAUCAUCUUGCCAAGCGCUUCCAC
rnacentral:lncRNA from 1 species